rfam:PVC group bacterium (ex Bugula neritina AB1) isolate AB1-3 AB834_contig000060, whole genome shotgun sequence.
GGUUAGGUUGCUUUUUGGUAAGGCACUAAAGUUGCAAACUUUAUUUUUAUAGGUUCGAGUCCUAUCCUAACUU